rnacentral:rRNA from 1 species
CAACUUUCAGCAACGGAUCUCUUGGCUCUCGCAUCGAUGAAGAACGCAGCGAAAUGCGAUAAGUAAUGUGAAUUGCAGAAUUCAGUGAAUCAUCGAAUCUUUGAACGCACCUUGCGCCCCUUGGCUACUCCGAGGGGCAUGCCUGUUUGAGUAUCAUGA